ACAAGACGCCUGGCACUCUUCACUCUGGGACCAACGCCCCCAAAGGAACUACACCACCGUUGACUCACUGCCCCGCGGACAGUCCGUCGGGUUGGUUUCAGAAUUCUGCACCCGCAGCACGUGACAUUUUGGCAUAUGCGUCCUCGUUCUACUCUAGCAAUGCUGCACGUUCCUUCAAAGCGACAGUCACUGCACUUGGGGUCUCUGUCGUGCAAACUCAGCCUCCGUUCUGGGUUUUUCUAACCAGCGGUCAUCAGUUCAGCAGGCAGGGAGGUACUAGCAACCUUGGCCGUGACCCAGAACGCAUGCUACCGCUGAACACCGCGUGGUGCCGGUGGAGUGGGUUCCGGCUGAGACCGCCUGCCAGCGCCCCCGCCUCGCAAGCGUCUCUCCGCUCCCCGACCUGGCACUCGCUCCCCGCGGGCCUAACACGCCGUCCUGUCUCCACCCGCCCGGGCUGGGCAGGACGCUGGCGGGGGGACCCCAUCCUGCGCCUGCGGCUCCCGCCGUCCGGGCAGGCUGCCCCUCCGCCUGGACAGCCGGACUUCCUGCGCUGCCACGCCCCGUGCCCUUGAGCUGAGAAGGCGCAGACCCGCGGCGAGAGGGCCAGGGAGGCAGGGUGUCAGCCCGUCUCCUGCCAGGCCUGUCCAGACCCCGGCCCCGACGCGAAUCGCUGCGUGUUAACCCAGCUGACGUGGAGCAGGGAUGCCCCGCUCCCCCGUGUGAGGCCACCGCACUGCCCAGUGGGGGAUGUUGGUCUCCCAAACCCUAUGAUGCAAGCAAAACCCAACAAAAAUAGCACACGUUGUUCAGGGAACAACAUUGCUGGGGGAAACUGUCACCCUUGAGAAAGCUCUGCAUGUGACACACACGGGAAAGAAAAAAAUGAUGCUCACAAGAAUAAAAUCAUAGCUGAA